rnacentral:rRNA from 1 species
GACGAACGCUGGCGGCGUGCUUAACACAUGCAAGUCGAACGGAAAGGCCUGCUUUCCCUUGUGGAUUGCGGGUGCUCGAGUGGCGAACGGGUGAGUAACACGUGAGUGAUCUGCCCCCAACUUGGGUAUAAGCCUGGGAAACUGGGUCUAAUUCCCGAUAGGACUGCAGGGUGGUGCCUGUGGUGGAAAACGAUUUUCUAGUGGUUGGGGAUGAGCUCGCGGCCUAUCAGCUUGUUGGUGGGGUAAUGGCCUACCAAGGCGGCGACGGGUAGCCGGCCUGAGAGGGUGGACGGCCACAUUGGGACUGAGAUACGGCCCAGACUCCUACGGGAGGCAGCAGUGGGGAAUAUUGCACAAUGGGCGGAAGCCUGAUGCAGCGACGCCGCGUGGGGGAUGACGGCCUUCGGGUUGUAAACUCCUUUCGACCGCGAGGAAGCCACCUGGUUGGAAGGGUGGUGACGGUAGUGGGAGAAGAAGCACCGGCUAACUACGUG